AACGGCCGUACCAUGCUGAAUAUACCGGUUCUCGUCAGAUCAUCGAAGUUAAGCAUCAUUGGGCGCGGUCAGUACUUGGGUGGGUGACCACCUGGGAACACCGCGUGCCGUU
rnacentral:rRNA from 1 species